rnacentral:rRNA from 1 species
CGAUGAACGCUGGCGGUAGGCCUAACACAUGCAAGUCGAACGGCAGCACAGUAAGAGCUUGCUCUUAUGGGUGGCGAGUGGCGGACGGGUGAGGAAUACAUCGGAAUCUACCUUUUCGUGGGGGAUAACGUAGGGAAACUUACGCUAAUACCGCAUACGACCUUCGGGUGAAAGCAGGGGACCUUCGGGCCUUGCGCGGAUAGAUGAGCCGAUGUCGGAUUAGCUAGUUGGCGGGGUAAAGGCCCACCAAGGCGACGAUCCGUAGCUGGUCUGAGAGGAUGAUCAGCCACACUGGAACUGAGACACGGUCCAGACUCCUACGGGAGGCAGCAGUGGGGAAUAUUGGACAAUGGGCGCAAGCCUGAUCCAGCCAUACCGCGUGGGUGAAGAAGGCCUUCGGGUUGUAAAGCCCUUUUGUUGGGAAAGAAAAGCAGCCGGCUAAUACCCGGUUGUUCUGACGGUACCCAAAGAAUAAGCACCGGCUAACUUCGUGCCAGCAGCCGCGGUAAUACGAAGGGUGCAAGCGUUACUCGGAAUUACUGGGCGUAAAGCGUGCGUAGGUGGUUGUU